CACGUAGGCGGGCUCUUAAGUCGGUGGUGAAAUCCUGGAGCUCAACUCCAGAACUGCCUUCGAUACUGAGAGUCUUCGAGUCCGGGAGAGGUGAGUGGAACUGCGAGUGUAGAGGUGAAAUUCGUAGAUAUUCGCAAGAACACCAGUGGCGAAGGCGGCUCACUGGCCCGGUACUGACGCUGAGGUGCGAAAGCGUGGGAGCAAACA
rnacentral:rRNA from 1 species